rnacentral:rRNA from 1 species
GUGCCAGCCGCCGCGGUAAUACGGAGGGAGCUAGCGUUGUUCGGAAUUACUGGGCGUAAAGCGCGCGUAGGCGGCUAUUCAAGUCAGGGGUGAAAUCCCGGGGCUCAACCCCGGAACUGCCUUUGAAACUGGAUGGCUAGAAUCUUGGAGAGGUCAGUGGAAUUCCGAGUGUAGAGGUGAAAUUCGUAGAUAUUCGGAAGAACACCAGUGGCGAAGGCGACUGACUGGACAAGUAUUGACGCUGAGGUGCGAAAGCGUGGGGAGCAAACAGGAUUAGAUACCCCGGUAGUCC